rnacentral:rRNA from 1 species
GAUGAACGCGGCGGCGUGCCUAACACAUGCAAGUCGAACGAAGUGUAUAUAGGAAGUCUUCGGAUGGAAUAUGUAUAACUUAGUGGCGGACGGGUGAGUAACGCGUAAGUAAUCAACCUGUGACACACGGAUAACUGAUAGAAAUGUCAGCUAAUACGAGAUGAACUGUUUAAAUUGGGAAAUGGAAACAGCAAAGCGAAAGCGGUCACAGACGAGCUUGCGCCUGAUUAGCUAGUUGGUGGGGUAAGAGCCUACCAAGGCGACGAUCAGUAGCCGGCCUGAGAGGGUGAACGGCCACAUUGGAACUGAGACACGGUCCAAACUCCUACGGGAGGCAGCAGUGGGGGAUAUUGCACAAUGGGGGGAACCCUGAUGCAGCAACGCCGCGUGAGUGAAGAAGGCCCUAGGGUCGUAAAGCUCUGUCGUAUGGGAAGAAACAAAUG